rnacentral:rRNA from 1 species
UACGUAGGGUGCGAGCGUUAAUCGGAAUUACUGGGCGUAAAGCGUGCGCAGGCGGCGCGUUAAGACAGGUGUGAAAGCCCCGAGCUUAACUUGGGAAUUGCGCUUGUGACUGGCGUGCUGGAGUGUGGCAGAGGGAGGUGGAAUUCCACGUGUAGCAGUGAAAUGCGUAGAGAUGUGGAGGAACACCGAUGGCGGAGGCAGCCUCCUGGGCCAGCACUGACGCUCAUGCACGAAAGCGUGGGGAGCAAACAGG